rnacentral:lncRNA from 1 species
AGACGAUAGGGCAUGGUGGGGAGUGCAGCAAAGUUAAAGCAGUCAGUUCUUGUUCAGCCUCAGCUGACUGCUACUAUGUUAGCAUGCCAGAUCUUCCAAUUUUGGGAGAAAAUCUGGGUUAUUGUGAGGUAUCUCCCAAUAUUUGAAUGUUUUAAGUUUAUUAGUGAAAAUGUUUCCAAACCAUUCCAGCCAAACAAAAUACAAAUAUGGCCUAGAUCUAGCCUGCUCAUUGGAAGCCGGAUCAAGGGAGAGACACUCUUCACAGGUGCCUGGUUUUCCCUUCAGCUCUGGAGGAACUGAUGCUCAAGUGUGGACGCCGUCCUUCCUGUGGUUGACACUCAUUCUAGGUGGAGCCCUGCAGAAUUUCCUCCCUAUGUCCCCCCACCCCCAAUGUUGUACCUUAUUCUCAGACAGGGGUUCUGCCUUUGUUCUCAGCUCCUUAUGUCCACCUUUGAUUAAGUGCAAAUUGUUCUACAGCAGAUUGAUAUCCCCAGGGAUUUUAAUAUCACAUGUGGUACAAACCAGAGGUCCCCCAAAUCCUGCAGCCCUCCAGGAUUUUUAAUAUCUGGAAAAAUAUAACUGGAACCCCCCUGCCACCAAAGCACAUUCAAUGCAAAACUGCCAAUUCUGCACACUGUGAGGAUUGCUGUGCAUGAUACAAUUCUCCCCUUUGUCAAAUGCAUGGUGAUGUCCUUCCUUCCAACAUGGGAGCAAAAACGUCUUUCUUGCAUUCUCCAGCACUAUUAAUCCAAUGGUAUUAUGUGUAACACAGUAAAAGUUUAGGGACGGUAGCACAGAAUGGCCACACAAACAAGAAAGCAAUCUAAAUGGGAUAUUAAUCCCCAGCAUCCAUCUCCACACCAUGGAGCCUCAUACCAGCUGUGUAUCUCCUGUCGCCAUGCUGCUGGGGCCUCAUCUCUCACGGCAGAAGAAGACCAGCUCCCGUCCCCAUCACCUCCAUCGCCACGAAGAUCAAUGCCGCCCACAGUCUCUUCUCUCUUAGCCACAAUCUUAGGAUUCCCGUGAUUUUAUUAGGUGGAGAAAUUUUAGCCAAUUCUUCAGCUCAACCUCCUGACUAGUCCUGGGCUUUCUGUUUAGACACUCGAAAAGUCACUGAUUUGCUUUGAAAAAUAAGUGUAUAGGUCCUCUCCCUGAAAUGAAUUUCAUAGGCCUUCUUGAAUAUGGAGAUUUUUCCACAACACUGUUGAGAGGCUGAAUACACAAACGGAUGAUCUCAGACCCUACGUAAAAAUAGAACUCUGAUCGACAGUGUGUCAUAACCAGCCCGGGAAGUUGACCCAUCACUUACAGUAACCGACCCAAGAAGCCAGCCUGCUAUCGACAAGUCAGACUUGUAGGAAGUCAGACCACGUCUCUGGCAACAUAUUGAGGAAAUCAAACCAUAACCCCUGUAUCCAUCCAAAAUGUCCAGGACUCUAUGAAUAACUUGGCCUCCCUAAUUUUUGUUCCUGCUUCUAGUACCAACCAGAAAAAGCCAAAUGUGUACCCUAACCAGUCACACUAGACACCCCGCUUCUACUUAGCCCAACUCCAGCUUCCCUAGGUCAACAGCCUCUGAUCAGAGUACCCCUGAAGCCUUCUCUCUUCUUCUCUAUGAAGCUUUCCCAACCCUCUGCUGCCAAAACACGAGUGAUGGUGGCCAACUUGCUUACUAUAGCAAGCCCUGAGUGAAUAGCCUCCGUUUGUUCUCAUGUGGUUGGUUGCUAUGGACCGAAUGUUUGCAUCCCCCUAAAUUUUGUGUGUUGAAGCCCCGCCCCCAAUGUGAUGGUGUUGGGGGGUGGGCCUUUGGGAGGUAAUUAGGUAUAGAUGAGAUCAUGAAGGUGGAGCCGCCAUGAUGAAACUAGUGUCCUUAUAAGAAGAAGAAAGACCAGAGUUCUCUGUCUCUCUCUUUCUCCCAUGUAACAACACAGCAAAGAAGGCGGCCGUCUGCGAGUCAGGAAAAGAGCCCUCCCAGGGAACUAAAUCAGCCAGGGCUUGGAUCUUGGACUUCCCAGCCUCCAGAACCACGAGGAACAAAUUCCUUUUGUUUCAGAUUCCAGUCUGUAGAAUUUUGUUAUGGCAGCCUAAGCUGGGGCAUUGGCCUUGAUUUCUGAAACUGGUUUUGGUCACGUUCAUUUUAUGUUGAUGGGCGACGGAGAGGGACUUGUUAAACAGCAUGAACGUAUGUCAGCAUCCUUCCCAGAAAUCCACGGAUGGGUUGUGAACAGUGAAACUGAAAUCAAAUUUCACGGGGGUGGUUUUUGGCAGCUUCACGGGCUGAGGCAGAGUAGGGAAGGGUGUGUGGUCAUGGCCGUUAGGGGAGAGGUUGUGUUAGACACACACAAUAUCUUUCCAGCUCAAACUGGCCCAAUGGAGAAAACAAAACAAAACAAAAGCAGUGUUGACUCAUUCAGCUUGAAAAGUUCUGAAGGACACUGGCCUCAGGCACAGAGGGUUCCGGAGCUCGGUCAACGUCACCAAAGCCCUUUUUCUUUAUUUGUUAGCCCCGUAGCUCUGCUGUCCUCUGUUGGCUUUGUUCUCGGGCAAGCUCUUGCCACAUAUUUGGCUCUGAGGUUGCCCGGUCCAGCCUCCUCCCCACCGUGUGUCCUUCCUGCUUCAGAGAUGUAAUGGGGAGACUUCCUUUUCUGUUGAACCAGGGUCCUUAUGUCCACACUUUGUGGCUUCUGGAUGCAACUUCCUUCCCACUCGCCAACCUUUUCUGUGUUCA